rnacentral:rRNA from 1 species
UAAUGCUCGCCGCUGUUAGGGAAGGGUAGCAAGGGCCGUCAUACAACCCCCACACACAAGGUUGACCUCGGAUCAGGUAGGGAUACCCGCUGAACUUAAGCAUAUCAAUAAGCGGAGGAAAAGAAACCAACAGGGAUUGCCUCAGUAACGGCGAGUGAAGCGGCAACAGCUCAAAUUUGAAAGCUGGCUCCUUCGGGGCCCGCGUUGUAAUUUGUAGAGGAUGCUUCGGGCGCGGCACCGGUCUAAGUUCUCUGGAACGAGACGUCAUAGAGGGUGAGAAUCCCGUAUGUGACUGGCUGCCUGUGCCCAUGUGAAGCUCCUUCGACGAGUCGAGUUGUUUGGGAAUGCAGCUCAAAAUGGGAGGUGUACUCCUUCUAAAGCUAAAUAUUGGCCAGAGACCGAUAGCGCACAAGUAGAGUGAUCGAAAGAUGAAAAGCACUUUGGAAAGAGAGUUAAACAGUACGUGAAAUUGUUGAAAGGGAAGCGCUUGCAAUCAGACUUGCGCGGCGUCGAUCAGCCUGGGUUCUCCCUGGUGCACUCGGCGCCGCUCAGGCCAGCAUCAGUUUCGGCGGUGGGAUAAAGGCCUAGGGAACGUGGGUCCCCUCGGGGACCGUUAUAGCCCUAGGUGCAAUGCCGCCUGCCGGGACUGAGGACCGCGCU